UAGGGAAUCUUCCACAAUGGGCGCAAGCCUGAUGGAGCAACACCGCGUGAGUGAAGAAGGGUUUCGGCUCGUAAAGCUCUGUUGUUAAAGAAGAACACGUAUGAGAUUAACUGUUCAUACGUUGACGGUAUUUAACCAGAAAGUCACGGCUAACUACGUGCCAGCAGCCGCGGUAAUACGUAGGUGGCAAGCGUUAUCCGGAUUUAUUGGGCGUAAAGAGAGUGCAGGCGGUUUUCUAAGUCUGAUGUGAAAGCCUUCGGCUUAACCGGAGAAGUGCAUCGGAAACUGGAUAACUUGAGUGCAGAAGAGGGUAGUGGAACUCCAUGUGUAGCGGUGGAAUGCGUAGAUAUAUGGAAGAACACCAGUGGCGAAGGCGGCUACCUGGUCUGCAACUGACGCUGAGACUCGAAGGCAUGGGUAGCGAACAGGAUUAGAUACCCUGGUAGUCCAUGCCGUAAACGAUGAGUGCUAGGUGUUGGAGGGUUUCCGCCCUUCAGUGCCGGAGCUAACGCAUUAAGCACUCCGCCUGGGGAGUACGACCGCAAGGUUG
rnacentral:rRNA from 1 species